rnacentral:piRNA from 1 species
UGCCAUGUGAACCUCUUUGGAGGUAAUGGAAA